GACGAACGCUGGCGGCGUGCUUAACACAUGCAAGUCGAGCGGUAAGGCCUUUCGGGGUACCCGAGCGGCGAACGGGUGAGUAACACGUGGGUGAUCUGCCCUGCACUUCGGGAUAAGCCUGGGAAACUGGGUCUAAUACCGGAUAUGACCUCCUAUCGCAUGGUGGGUGGUGGAAAGAUUUAUCGGUGCAGGAUGGGCCCGCGGCCUAUCAGCUUGUUGGUGGGGUAAUGGCCUACCAAGGCGACGACGGGUAGCCGACCUGAGAGGGUGACCGGCCACACUGGGACUGAGACACGGCCCAGACUCCUACGGGAGGCAGCAGUGGGGAAUAUUGCACAAUGGGCGAAAGCCUGAUGCAGCGACGCCGCGUGAGGGAUGACGGCCUUCGGGUUGUAAACCUCUUUCAGCAGGGACGAGGCGCAAGUGACGGUACCUGCAGAAGAAGCACCGGCUAACUACGUG
rnacentral:rRNA from 1 species